rnacentral:rRNA from 1 species
AGUGAACGCUGGCGGUAGGCCUAACACAUGCAAGUCGAACGGCCGCACAGUAAGAGCUUGCUCUUACGGGUGGCGAGUGGCGGACGGGUGAGGAAUACAUCGGAAUCUACUUUUUCGUGGGGGAUAACGUAGGGAAACUUACGCUAAUACCGCAUACUACCUACGGGUGAAAGCAGGGGAUCUUCGGACCUUGCGCGAUUCAAUGAGCCGAUGUCGGAUUAGCUAGUUGGCGGGGUAAAGGCCCACCAAGGCAACGAUCCGUAGCUGGUCUGAGAGGAUGAUCAGCCACACUGGAACUGAGACACGGUCCAGACUCCUACGGGAGGCAGCAGUGGGGAAUAUUGGACAAUGGGCGCAAGCCUGAUCCAGCCAUACCGCGUGGGUGAAGAAGGUCUUCGGGUUGUAAAGCCCUUUUGUUGGGAAAGAAAAGCAGCAGGAUAAUACGCCGCUGUUCUGACGGUACCUAAAGAAUAAGCACCGGCUAACUUCGUG